rnacentral:rRNA from 1 species
CGACUUGGAGGUUGUGCCCUUGAGGCGUGGCUUCCGGAGCUAACGCGUUAAGUCGACCGCCUGGGGAGUACGGCCGCAAGGUUAAAACUCAAAUGAAUUGACGGGGGCCCGCACAAGCGGUGGAGCAUGUGGUUUAAUUCGAUGCAACGCGAAGAACCUUACCUGGCCUUGACAUCCAGAGAACUUAGCAGAGAUGCUUUGGUGCCUUCGGGAACUCUGAGACAGGUGCUGCAUGGCUGUCGUCAGCUCGUGUUGUGAAAUGUUGGGUUAAGUCCCGCAACGAGCGCAACCCUUAUCCUUUGUUGCCAGCGGCUCGGCCGGGAACUCAAAGGAGACUGCCGGUGAUAAACCGGAGGAAGGUGGGGAUGACGUCAAGUCAUCAUGGCCCUUACGGCCAGGGCUACACACGUGCUACAAUGGCGCAUACAAAGAGAAGCGACCUCGCGAGAGCAAGCGGACCUCAUAAAGUGCGUCGUAGUCCGGAUUGGAGUCUGCAACUCGACUCCAUGAAGUCGGAAUCGCUAGUAAUCGUAGAUCAGAAUGCUACGGUGAAUACGUUCCCGGGCCUUGUACACACCGCCCGUCACACCAUGGGAGUGGGUUGCAAAAGAAGUAGGUAGCUUAACCUUCGGGAGGGCGCUA